CACGUAGGGACCGAGCGUUGUCCGGAAUCAUUGGGUUUAAGGGGUCCGUAGGCGGGUUAAUAAGUCAGUGGUGAAAGUCUGCAGCUCAACUGUAGAAUUGCCAUUGAUACUGUUAACCUUGAGUAAUUAUGAAGUGGUUAGAAUAUGUAGUGUAGCGGUGAAGUGCAUAGAUAUUACAUAGAAUACCGAUUGCGAAGGCAGAUCACUAAUAAUUUACUGACGCUGAGGGACGAAAGCGUAGGUAGCGAACAGG
rnacentral:misc_RNA from 1 species